rnacentral:rRNA from 1 species
GACGUAGGAGGCGAGCGUUAUCCGGAUUCACUGGGCGUAAAGCGCAUGUAGGCGGAUGUCUAAGUCGUGUGUUAAAGCCCCUGGCUCAACUGGGGGAGGUCAUGCGAGACUGGAUGACUUGAGGGCAACAGAGGCACGUGGAACUCCCGGUGUAGCGGUGGAAUGCGUAGAGAUCGGGAAGAACACCCGUGGCGAAGGCGGCACUCUGGGCCGGUACUGACGCUGAGGAGCGAAAGCGUGGGGAGCAAACAGG